rnacentral:lncRNA from 1 species
UGUUGUGGGUUCAGCUGUUGUCGUUGUGGCCUCAGCCGUGGUUGUUGUGGGUUCAGCAGUUGUUGUGGGUUCAGCAGUUGUUGUUGUGGGUUCAGCAGUUGUUGUUUUGGGUUCAGCAGUUGUAAUUGUGGGUUCAGCAGUUGUCGUUGUGGGUUCAGCAGUAGUUGUUGUAGGUUCAGCUGUUGUUAUUUUGGGUUCAGCCGUUGUUUUUGUGGGUUCAGCAGUUGUUGUUGUGGGUUCAGCAGUUGCUGUUGUGGGUUCAGCUGUUGUAGUUGGUUCAGUAGUUGUUGUGGGUUCAGUUGUUGUUGUUGUGGGUUCAGCAGCUGUUGUUGUUGUGGGUUCAGCAGUUGUUGUUGUUGUGGGUUCAGCCGUGGUUGUUGUGGGUUGAACUGUUGUUGUUGUGGAUUCAGCUGUUAUUGUGGGUUCAGCAGUUGUUGUUGUGGGUUCAGCAGUUGUUGUUUUGGGUUCAGCAGUUGUUGUUUUGGGUUCAGCAGUUGUAAUUGUGGGUUCAGCAGUUGUCGUUGUGGGUUCAGCAGUAGUUGUUGUAGGUUCAGCUGUUGUUAUUUUGGGUUCAGCCGUUGUUUUUGUGGGUUCAGCAGUUGUUGUUGUGGGUUCAGCAGUUGCUGUUGUGGGUUCAGCUGUUGUUGUUGGUUCAGUAGUUGUUGUUGGUUCAGCUGUUGUAGUUGGUUCAGUAGUUGUUGUGGGUUCAGCGGUUGUUGUUGUGGGUUCAGCGGUUGUUGUUGUGGGUUCAGCGGUUGUUGUUGUGGGUUCAGCAGUUGUUGUUGUGGGUUCAGCUGUUGUUGUUGGUGCUUGAGAGGUUGUUGUGGGUUCAGCUGUUGUUGUAAGUUCAGAAGUUGUUGUAGUUUCAGCUGUUGUUGUAGGUUCAGCUGUUGUUGUUGUGGGUUCAGCUGUUGUUGUUGUGGGUUCAGCAGUUGUUGUUGUGGGUUCAGCUGUUGUGGUUGUGGGUUCAGCUGUUGUAGUUGGUUCAGUAGUUGUUGUGGGUUCAGUUGUUGUUGUUGUGGGUUCAGCAGCUGUUGUUGUUGUGGGUUCAGCAGUUGUUGUUGUUGUGGGUUCAGCCGUGGUUGUUGUGGGUUGAACUGUUGUUAUUGUGGGUUCAGCUGUUGUUGUUGGUUCAGUAGUUGUUGUUGGUUCAGCUGUUGUAGUUGGUUCAGUAGUUGUUGUGGGUUCAGCGGUUGUUGUUGUGGGUUCAGCGGUUGUUGUUGUGGGUUCAGCAGUUGUUGUUGUGGGUUCAGCUGUUGUUGUUGGUUGAGAAGUGUUUGUUGUUGGUGGUGCUUGAGAGGUUGUUGUGGGUUCAGCUGUUGUUGUAAGUUCAGAAGUUGUUGUAGUUUCAGCUGUUGUUGUAGGUUCAGCUGUUGUUGUUGUGGGUUCAGCUGUUGUUGUUGUGGGUUCAGCAGUUGUUGUUGUGGGUUCAGCUGUUGUGGUUGGUUCAGUAGUUGUUGUGGGUUCAGCUGUUGUUGUGGUUUCAGCAGUUGUUGUUCUUGUUGA